UACGUAGGGUGCAAGCGUUGUCCGGAAUUAUUGGGCGUAAAGAGCGUGUAGGCGGCUUUACAGGUCCGUUGUGAAAACUCGAGGCUCAACCUCGAGACGCCGGUGGAAACCGUAAGGCUAGAGUCCGGAAGAGGAGAGUGGAAUUCCUGGUGUAGCGGUGAAAUGCGCAGAUAUCAGGAAGAACACCCGUGGCGAAGGCGGCUCUCUGGUACAUGAUUGACGCUGAGACGCGAAAGCGUGGGGAGCGAACAGG
rnacentral:rRNA from 1 species